GAUGAACGCUGGCGGCGUGCUUAACACAUGCAAGUCGAACGAGAGAAGAUCGGUGCUUGCACUGAUCCGAUCGAGUGGCGGACGGGUGAGUAACGCGUGGGUAACCUGCCUCAUACAGGGGAAUAACAGUUGGAAACGGCUGCUAAAACCGCAUAAGCGCACAGUAUCGCAUGAUACAGUGUGAAAAACUCCGGUGGUAUGAGAUGGACCCGCGUCUGAUUAGCUAGUUGGUGAGGUAACGGCCCACCAAGGAAACGAUCAGUAGCCGGCCUGAGAGGGGGAACGGCCACAUUGGGACUGAGACACAGCACAAACUCCUACGGGAGGAAGCAGUGGGGAAUAUUGCACAAUGGGGGAAACCCUGAUGCAGCGACGCCGCGUGAGUGAUAAAGUAUUUCGGUAUGUAAAGCUCUAUCAGCAGGGAAGAUAAUGACGGUACCUGACUAAGAAGCACCGGCUAAAUACGUGCCAGCAGCCGCCGUAA
rnacentral:rRNA from 1 species